rnacentral:lncRNA from 1 species
GAAGCAUGACUGCUCAGGUCCCCAGAUGACUUGGGCACUUGCUUUGCUGAUUCAAGCACCAGCUCCUGCGGUCUCCCACCAGCCCUUUCUGCAGACAGAUUGACGAUGAUGGACAUAAACAUCGGCAAGAAGCGCUAGGCAGAAGGAUGGGUCUCCUUCUUGGGAACAACUCUGUUGAUGGCUGCAGUAAGCCCGAGCCAUUCAGCUAAGUCUGACACAUCAAGGACCGCUGGCGCAGUCAUGUUAUGGGGAGUGAG